rnacentral:rRNA from 1 species
UUCUUACUGAAAUAAUUGUAAGUAACACCUGCUCAAUGAAAUUUAAAUAGCCGCGGGAAUUUAACCGUGCUAAGGUAGCAUAAUCAUUAGCCUCUUAAUUAGAGGCUUGUAUGAAUGGUGAAACAUUUCAACUUCUAUAUUAAUUAACAAUAUUAAAUUUAAACUAAGAAUAAAAAUGUUCUUAUAUUAAAAAAAGACGACAAGACCCUUUUGAACUUUACUCUUGUUUGGCUGGGGCAGCUAUUAAAUAAUUACCUUUAUAAUAUUAUUUAAAUAAAAGACCUAAUACAAUUAAUUAUUAGAACAAGUUACCAUAGGGAUAACAGCGUAAUAUUUUUUUAAAGCUCUUAUUAAAAAAUAAGAUUGCGACCUCGAUGUUGAAUUAAUGUAACUUAAUUAAUGCAGCCAUUAAUUUGAGUGGGU